rnacentral:rRNA from 1 species
GACGAACGCUGGCGGCGUGCUUAACACAUGCAAGUCGAGCGGAAAGGCUCCUUCGGGGGUACUAGAGCGGCGAACGGGUGAGUAACACGUGAGUCAUCUGCUCUGUGCUCUGGGAUAGCCACCGGAAACGGUGAUUAAUACCGGAUAUGACCAGCUACUGCAUGGUGGUUGGUGGAAAGUUUUUCGGCUCAGGAUGUGAUCGCGGCCUAUGAGCUUGUUGGUGAGGUAAUGGCUCACCAAGGCGUUGACGGGUAGCCGGCCUGAGAGGGUGACCGGUCACACUGGGACUGAGACGCGGCCCAGACUCCUACUGGAGGCAGCAGUGGGAAAUAGUGGACAAUGGGCGGAAGCCUGAUCCAGCAACUCCGCGUGAGGGAUGACGGCCUUCGGGUUGUAAACCUCUUUCAGUGCCGACGAAGCGAAAGUGACGGUAGGUACAGAAGAAGGACCGGCCAACUACGUGCCAGCCGCCGCGGUAACAC